AGAGUUUGAUCCUGGCUCAGAACGAACGCUGGCGGCGUGGCUAAGGCAUGCAAGUCGAACGAAUAUAUUCCAAGGGUAACUGAGGAGUAUAUUAGUGGCGAACGGGUGAGGAAUACAUGGACAACGUACCCUGGACUCGGGGAUAGCGGCGGGCCGCAAGGCUCUUUAGCGAAAGUGCCGGUAAUACCCGAUGAUCUCGCGGAACCGCAUGGUUCUGCGGGCAAAGCUCCGACGGUCUAGGAUCGGUUCAUGCCCUAUCAGCUAGUUGGUGAGGUAACGGCUCACCAAGGCAACGACGGGUACCGGGCGUGAGAGCGUGACCCGGCACAUCGGAACUGAGAUACGGUCCGGACACCUACGGGUGGCUGCAGCAACGAAUAUUCCGCAAUGGACGAAAGUCUGACGGAGCGACGCCGCGUGCAGGAUGAAGUCCCUCGGGAUGUAAACUGCUGUCAGGGGUGAGGAAUAAGUUGACCAACCCCAGAGGAAGCAUCGGCUAACUCCGUGCCAGCAGCCGCGGUAAUACGGAGGAUGCAAGCGUUGUUCGGAAUCACUGGGCUUAAAGAGCAUGUAGGUGGGGUGUCAGGCGUCGGGUGAAAUCCCUCGGCUCAACCGAGGAACUGCCUGGCGAACCGGCAUUCUUGAGGCAGGUAGAGGUGGCUGGAACGACGGGUGGAGCGGUGAAAUGCGUAGAUAUCCGUUGGAACGCCGGCGGCGAAAGCGAGCCACUGGGCCUGUCCUGACACUGAGAUGCGAAAGCGUGGGGAGCAAACAGGAUUAGAUACCCUGGUAGUCC
rnacentral:rRNA from 1 species